GUCUCUUACGACCAGCUCCCUUUGAAUCCCCCAGGACGGGAGAGCACGUGAUUUGUAAUCUCGGGGUCGUUGGUUCGAAUCCGACAAGAGGCU
rnacentral:tRNA from 1 species